rnacentral:tRNA from 1 species
GGGGGUGAUCGGGGUCUGGUGGCCCUCCUGGUCUUCAAGGCCGGCGGCACGCCGCGACAGCGUGCGGUGGGUUCGAUUCCCGACCGUCUCCGCC